rnacentral:rRNA from 1 species
UAGAUUGUUCUCUACUUGGAUAACUGUGGGAAUUCUAGAGCUAAUACAUGCGCAAAAGCUCCGACCUUCGGGGAGGAGUGCAGUUAUUAGACCAAAACCAGCCGAGCUUCGGCUCGAACUGUUUGGUGACUCUGGAUAACGACGAGCGGAUCGCAUGGCCUUGUGCCGGCGACAUAUCUUUCAAGUGUCUGACCUAUCAACUGACGAUGGUACGCGAUAUGCCUACCAUGGUGAUAACGGGUAACGGAGAAUAAGGGUUCGACUCCGGAGAGGGAGCCUGAGAAAUGGCUACCACAUCCAAGGAUGGCAGCAGGCGCGCAAAUUACCCACUCUCAGCACGAGGAGGUAGUGACGAAAAAUAACAAUGCGGGACUCUAUGAGGCCUCGCAAUUGGAAUGAGCGCACUUUAAAUCGUUCGACGAGGAUCUAUUGGAGGGCAAGUCUGGUGCCAGCAGCCGCGGUAAUUCCAGCUCCAAUAGCGUAUAUUAAAGUUGUUGCAGUUAAAAAGCUCGUAGUUGGAUCUGGGGUUCGGGUCGGCGGUUUGCCACUCUGUGGCUACUGCCGUGCUCGACUCUUACUAGCUGGUGCGUCUCUUGGUAUUC